ACCUUUUGGAAGAAGUCGUCGAAGGUGGAAUUAAUAACUGGGGUGAAGUCGUAACAAGGUAGCCGUAUCGGAAGGUGCGGCUGGAUCACCUCCUUUCUAAGGAGA
rnacentral:rRNA from 1 species